rnacentral:rRNA from 1 species
GAACGGGCUUAGGGGCUUGCUCCUAAGUUAGUGGCGAACGGGUGAGUAAUAUAUCGGAACAUGUCCGGAAGUGGGGGAUAACGUAGCGAAAGUUACGCUAAUACCGCAUAUGCCCUGAGGGGGAAAGGGGGGGAUCGCAAGACCUCUCGCUUUCGGAGUGGCCGAUACCGGAUUAGCUAGUAGGUGAGGUAAAGGCUCACCUAGGCGACGAUCCGUAGCUGGUCUGAGAGGACGACCAGCCACACUGGAACUGAGACACGGUCCAGACUCCUACGGGAGGCAGCAGUGGGGAAUUGUUGGACAAUGGGCGCAAGCCUGAUCCAGCCAUACCGCGUGAGUGAAGAAGGCCUUCGGGUUGUAAAGCUCUUUCAGCUGGAAAAAAAUCGUACUUAUUAAUACUAAGUAUGGAUGAUGGUACCAGCAGAAGAAGCACCGGCUAACUACGUGCCAGCAGCCGCGGUAAUACGUAGGGUGCGAGCGUUAAUCGGAAUUACUGGGCGUAAAGCGUGCGCAGGCGGUUUGAUAAGCCAGAUGUGAAAUCCCCGGGCUUAACCUGGGAACUGCAUUUGGAACUGUCAGACUAGAGUAUAGCAGAGGGGGGUAGAAUUCCACGUGUAGCAGUGAAAUGCGUAGAGAUGUGGAAGAAUACCAAUGGCGAAGGCAGCCCCCUGGGUUAAUACUGACGCUCAUGCACGAAAGCGUGGGGAGCAAACA